rnacentral:rRNA from 1 species
UACGUAGGGGGCAAGCGUUGUCCGGAUUUAUUGGGCGUAAAGAGCGUGUAGGCGGCCUGGAAGGUCAGCUGUGAAAACUCGAGGCUCAACCUCGAGACGUCGGUUGAAACCACCUGGCUAGAGUCCGGAAGAGGAGAGUGGAAUUCCCGGUGUAGCAGUGAAAUGCGUAGAGAUCGGGAGGAACAUCAGUUGCGAAGGCGGCUCUCUGGACCAGCACUGACACUGAGGCACGAAGGCGUGGGGAGCAAACAGG